CAGUAGCCGCGGUAAUACGUAGGGUGCAAGCGUUAAUCGGAAUUACUGGGCGUAAAGCGUGCGCAGGCGGUUAUAUAAGACAGAUGUGAAAUCCCCGGGCUCAACCUGGGAACUGCAUUUGUGACUGUAUAGCUAGAGUACGGCAGAGGGGGAUGGAAUUCCGCGUGUAGCAGUGAAAUGCGUAGAUAUGCGGAGGAACACCGAUGGCGAAGGCAAUCCCCUGGGCCUGUACUGACGCUCAUGCACGAAAGCGUGGGGAGCAAACAGGAUUAGAUACCCGCGUAGUCCUAUCUCUUAUACA
rnacentral:rRNA from 1 species